rnacentral:lncRNA from 1 species
CUUGUGAGCACUGGCUCCAUGAAAGAUGGUCUCUGGACAGGAGCUAUAGUCUUGGACGAAUAUAGCCUCUGCCAGAAAUGCAAUUCAAAGCAGGAAAGGAGAGAUUUAUUCACAUUACCAAUAAUGUUCAUAUAACACACUUUAACUAGAUUUUGACCCCUGCAAAAAUAACCCAAAAAUGAAGUCCUCUUUUCCUGUGGCUGAGGCUUGAAACCGAAUCAGAAGCAUAUUGCUCUGGCUUCUCUUCAGUGAAAUUAAAAGAAAAAGGUUCAGUGUAUGAUGGAUGUUUUCAGAGAAAGUACUUGCAUUUUUUAUAAUAUAAUGCCAACUGUAUCACAAUCUCUAUAAAGGUGCAGACCAUGUCCAGCCUAUUUGCCAAUGACACCAUAUUACUACUGCAUGAAAUAACAGAUUCAAGGAAACAAGAAGUAGAUUCAUUCAUUCAUCCAAAACAUACCAAAUGCCUGCAUGUACCAAAUAUUUUUCUAGCCACUGAUGACACAGAGGGGAUUAAGUUCCAGUUCUCUUUGCAACUUAUAUUUCAAGAGGGAAAAAAAAAAAAACAAAGAAGGGAAGGGGCUAGAGACUGAUAGGUGAAAUAGGCUUUGUUUUGUUUUUUGACAGGAUAAAUAAAUUGCCCAUUUAUUGAUCA